CGCGCCAUAAAUGAAAUAAUCACCGACUUGAAGCAUAAAAAAAUGACACUAUUUUUGUGUUCCACUCGUAUAAGUAUACUUGGUCGUUGCAAGUGAAUUUUUCAAUGGGCAUUUUUAUCCAUUACCCAAUUCUAAUUGAAAUUAAACCUACGCUCGUUUGAUAAAUUACUUCAAAAAAUUGCGAAUCGAUUUUUUUAUACGACUAUCUAACUAUACCAGUACCAUCAACAAAGGAAUAAGAUAACCGGAGCAUUCCCUUCAAAGGAUUGAGGAAACGAAUAACCAAAACAAAAAUAUCUCAAUGAUAAGGUAGGUUAAAAAAAUAAACUGAUCGCUUACCUCUUCGACCAUCGGUUAUAACUUGAAUACAAUCGUUACGGUCGUUUGUUAGUGGGCAUCUCCAUAAAGCUCCUGAUUUUGUUGUUUGGGGUUGCAAAUUUUUGUCCAAAGGAGCUCCCACUAACAUCCUGUGAAAACAAUUCAAAUUUUUAGCGAUUUUUAAUAAUGACUAGUUCAAAGAGAUAACAUUUUUGUUUUGUUAAUCAUCAAGUACGUACGAGUAUUUUGUAAUAAAUCAACAAUAAAACAUUUACAUAUUUA